GGGUGCAAGCGUUACUCGGAAUCACUGGGCGUAAAGCGCAUGCAGGCGGUCUAAUAAGUUGGGAGUGAAAGCCUAUGGCUCAACCAUAGAACAGCUUCCAAAACUGUUAGACUAGAGUCUGGGAGGGGAAGAUGGAAUUAGUAGUGUAGGGGUAAAAUCCGUAGAGAUUACUAGGAAUACCAAAAGCGAAGGCGAUCUUCUGGAACAGAACUGACGCUGAGAUGCGAAAGCGUGGGGAGCAAACAGGAUUAGAUACCCUGGUAGUCCACGCAGUAAACGAUGAAUGUUAGUCGUUGGGUCUCUAGUAGAUUCAGUGAUGCAGUUAACACAGUAAACAUUCCGCCUGGGGAGUACGGUCGCAAGAUUAAAACUCAAAGGAAUAGACGGGGACCCGCACAAGUGGUGGAGCAUGUGGUUUAAUUCGAAGAUACGCGAAGAACCUUACCUGGCCUUGACAUAUAGAGGAACCUACCCGAGAUGGUGGGGUGCCUUCGGGAGCCUCUAUACAGGUGCUGCAUGGCUGUCGUCAGCUCGUGUCGUGAGAUGUUGGGUUAAGUCCCGCAACGAGCGCAACCCUCGUCACUAGUUACUAACGGUUAGGCCGAGGACUCUAGUGAGACUGCCUUCGCAAGGAGGAGGAAGGUGAGGACGACGUCAAGUCAUCAUGGCCCUUACGGCCAGGGCAACACACGUGCUACAAUGGUUAGGACAAUGAGAGGCGAUACCGUGAGGUGGAGCGAAUCUAUAAACCUAAUCUCAGUUCAGAUUGUAGUCUGCAACUCGACUACAUGAAGCUGGAAUCACUAGUAAUCGUAGAUCAGCUAUGCUACGGUGAAUACGUUCCCGGGUC
rnacentral:rRNA from 1 species